GUGGGGAAUUUUGGACAAUGGGGGCAACCCUGAUCCAGCCAUUCCGCGUGAGUGAAGAAGGCCUUAGGGUUGUAAAGCUCUUUCAGUAGGGAAGAUAAUGACGGUACCUACAGAAGAAGCCCCGGCUAACUUCGUGCCAGCAGCCGCGGUAAUACGAAGGGGGCUAGCGUUGUUCGGAUUUACUGGGCGUAAAGCGCACGUAGGCGGAUUGGUCAGUUAGAGGUGAAAUCCUGGAGCUCAACUCCAGAACUGCCUUUAAUACUGCCAGUCUAGAGUCCAGAAGAGGUGAGUGGAACUCCUAGUGUAGAGGUGGAAUUCGUAGAUAUUAGGAAGAACACCAGUGGCGAAGGCGGCUCACUGGUCUGGUACUGACGCUGAGGUGCGAAAGCGUGGGGAGCAAACAGGAUUAGAUACCCGAGUAGUCC
rnacentral:rRNA from 1 species